UGGUGGAGUGAUUUGUCUGGUUAAUUCCGUUAACGAACGAGACCUCGAUCUGCUAAAUAGACACAUGGAUUCUUUUGGAUCCACUGUGCGCUUCUUAGAGAGACUAUCGGUUAGUAGCCGAAGGAGGUUCGAGGCAAUAACA
rnacentral:rRNA from 1 species